UAAACAAGUUCUUGCCUCACCCGUUCAGUCAGGAAAAAUCUGUGACUAACCUAUUUUCUUGCCUUGCGCCUCUCGCCUCCCAGACCAACCGUGCUCCUGGCUGAAAGAGGAGUAACGAGCAAAGCAAAGGAAGAACUGAAAGCCCCAGCGGAGCUUGAAAAGGAGCAGGCAGGCUGGUCCUGCAUUCCUCUUGCUUCUGGACUAUUUCCCUCCCUGCAAUUCUUUUGUUCAUACACUCCCUCAUUCUUUCAUUUGUACAUACAUUCAAUCAGCAACUUUAAGACCCCACGCUCCAAGCGAGGUCUUCUGCUGAGGACCAGGGAUACAGCGACAAAUUAAUGAUGCGCCUCUCAGGAAACUGAUUUCCAUUCCUUAAAGAUUAAUUAUGUGGAGUAUCUUUUCAUGUGCAUAUUGGCCAUUUGCAUAUCUUGUUUGGAGAAAUGUCUAUUCAAGAUCUUUGCCCAUUUAAAAAUUGAAUUGUCUUUUUAUUAUUGAAUCAUAAGUUUUUAUAUCAUAGAUAUCCCAGUUUUCUAAUUGUUUCCUUAAUGCUUUUGUAUUUUCUAAGUUUUCUACAGUGAUGAGUGACUCUGAUAAGCAGAAUAUCUAAAAUGUGAUACCAACCUACCUGAAAAUGUAGAAAUCGUACUAAUCAAACUUAUGAAUGAUAUUAAAUUAGGAAGAAUGUUAAUGUAUUUGGGGGUUUUUGCUUUACAAAAUCAAGAUCCAUUCUUGGAGGAGCAUAACUAUGGGUAAAAUAUUCAGUGUAUUAGUGUGAACUUCCUCAUUUCAACAAUCUUGUCAGGGUGUUUGAUGAAGUGGUCUUUCUCUGUGUAAGUGGGAGCUGAAAUUAUAUCCUGCAUGUUCAACCUGCACUGUCUAUGAUUUUCGGUUAAGGUAGGGGUAGAACUCUCUUGACAAGUGUUCAUGAAAAGGCAAUCUGAAGGUCUUGGUGUCUCACAGACUCAGUGGGGAUCAACAUGUGAUGUGACUGAUGAAAAGAGAGGAUGCGAUCUGAGAUGACAGGAAUCAAAGCAGGGUGUCUGAACUGAGGGCGAGGUCUGUCCUGCUGACUGAGCUGCUCAGACCACACCAGAAGCAUGUCCCCACUUCUGAACAGCACUCCAGAGCACCAUCCGUGUGGUUGGGUUGGGGAAGGAAGGGCUAGGAGGAAAGUGCUGGGAGGAUGGCCACUUCAGGAAAGUCGUGAUCAAGGCACUCCAUCUCUGAAGGGUUUCCCUGGGCAGAGGCAUCAGUGUGGUCUGCCAGGCCUUUAUCGUCUCACUUAACUGGAAAUUCACAGCAGCCUCUCCGGGCAGGAUUUCUUCUUACCUUACACCACGAGACCCAGGACGACACUCACGGCAGUUCCGACGGCCCCUCAUCUCGGAAGCUGAAGACCCAAACGGCAGUCAGGUGAGAAUCUGACCAGAGGUCCACAGAGCAGGAACAAGGAGACACCAAGGACACUCUAGGGCAGCAAACUCAAACUGUCCUGGGGUCCAAGCUGGCAAGGGAAACCAACAGAGCCAGUCGAACCCUGCCUUCUGAAUAAAGAACUAAAAAAAAAAAGUUUUAUUUUUAUAAUUAAAAAAACAGCAAUGUACAAUGAGAAAUGGCAUCCCAGUCCUCAUUUCUGGGAGGACAACAGGGAAAUGAGGGGACAGCCGUGAAAAGACUGCAGCAGGCCCAGUGAAGCCAGGCCUUCCACUCUGUUAAAGAGGAGCUGAACAUCGGGAUUUUUAUGUGAAAUCAUCCAAUUUCUAAAUCUUGAUGCUGAUGGGGGGGGGACAUAUGUAUACCUAUGGCUGAUUCACAUUGAUGUUUAACAGAAAACA